CCAAUCUAAGGGUGGUUUCCUGUCACCUACAGGGUACAUCUCAGACUCCUCAGAACGGCACUUCACAUGCGUGGCGAGCAGGCUGUUACUCAUCUUUUAGAGCUUUCUCCCUCGGCUCUCCCCACUCCCGGGCUCUGUAACCACAGAAUCAGUUCGCAGGCCUAGAGCUCACCUUGGGAUUCUGGGCCUCUGUGCCCUCUGUUCCUCCUGCCGGGACUAUCCCUUCCAAGCUCCUCCACCCGCAGCUGGCAGUGGAGAUAACGGAUGUGCAGUUGCAGCCAAGACCUCAGAAGGUUCAACGAGGGACUCCCUCGUGGAGUUAGGAAACCCCAGCAUGCUACCCUCCCCAAAAAAGUAAAUAUCAGGGCCCUGGCGACACACAGCCGUCACCAGCCCCCCUGGACAGCUCAGAGCGCAGGCACGGGUGAGCCGGCUGUCCAGCAUCAACAGGCACGGAGGUGGGGAGCUUCCCAGGGUGUCCAGACCGCUCGCCUCGUGGAUGCGGAUGAGAGACCAGAUCCAGAUUCAACAGACUUUUCCUGUAAAGGGCCCGAGAAUGAUUCCUUAGGCUUCGCCGGCCUUUGUCAAAGCUGCUCAACUCUGCCAUCACUGUGCAGAAGCAGCCAGGGACGAUCAGGGACGAUACGAAAAUGAGCGAGCAUGGCCGUGUUCGGGUAGAAACUUAUCCGUGGUUGCUGACAUUUGAAUUUCACAUAAUUUUCUCAUUUCACAAAAUAGUAUUCUUCUUUUGGCUUUUUUUCUAACUAUUUAAAAAUGUGAAAACCAUUCUUAGCUCUUGGGUGUGCAAAAGCAGGCUUUGGCCGGAAUUUGGACCAAGGGCCUGAGUUUGCCGAUUCCUCGAAGAAUGUUAGGAAAUUAUGGAGGUUUUUCAUCUGGGCUCUGUUGAGAUGUCUGUUUGGGUCAUAUUGGAUCAGGGACAGAGCACAAGAGGGCACACGGAGAGAAAAGAGACCAUCCCACUCGUGGCACAGAGAGAAAGACGGGCAGUGGGCAGACACGCCCCAAGCUGAGGGCCGGCACUCAUCCUGCCGUUGGCACAGAGUCAGAUGAGACGAGAGGCAAGAUGAAGGCGGGAGCCCAGACCCAGCACAGGCAGCACACGCUAAGGCCCGCACGCAAAGCGCAGCCUCCCCACCGUCCGGAGCUGCCUGAUCCACCCACUGUCACCUGCUCUCAGACCCCGAUCUCCGUCUGCACACACUCAGCCUUCCCUCUGACCUCCUUUGGAAACUGCGAAUAUUCUCAAAGACGUAACUCAGCAAGUCGCCAGUGCUCGUGGUGACCAGGCUGUUCAGUCAGGGCCUGGAGCAGACAGGAGCGGCAGGUCCGGACGAGGGGUGACAGGCAGCGAGGAGGAGAAGGAAGGAGGCACCCGAACUCUGCCGGCUCCACAGUCCAGGCUGAGGGCUCCCUGCCGCCGUCACGGCCUCCGCCCGCUCCUGCUCCAUCAAGUGCUCGGCGACCAGCCCCUCACGGACGCUUCGCUUCCAAACACAGCGAUGGGACCGAGGGUUCUUCCUCUGUGAUAAUAACGGACGUUAAGCUAAAAGGUCAACUGGACUCUGGACGGGAGCCGAAGUUAACUGAGAUUUCAGAAGUGUCCAUUCUCCUUCACAAUAACCCGAAACGCAGCCUGCAGCCUGACGACAGAGCUGACUGCGCGGCACGCACUUCGCUGUGUUUGUCCCUCAUUGUCACCCGCGGUUUACACUAACGUCACGUCAUAACAGUCAACCAACCACGCGCGAGAAAAACACAGGUGAGGAACGAUCUCAGUUUAAGUUUGGUGAGAAUUCCUGCCAUUUCCUUCACUGAUAUUUUGGGGUAAGAACAAAGCUCAAGAAAUUCUCUGUGGAACAUUUGCUCAUUAAAAUACACGUCAGUGACCACAUUGCCCCUAACAGUCCUGGGAAGACAGAUGGACCAGAAAAGCCCCGAAAGAGGGGUGACACCAGGGCCGAAAGAAGCUGACAGUCGACGGGCCCGGGACUGAGUCCGGCUCAGCCUUCCCACAGCGGUGACUCGGGCAGGUGGCCUCCGCUCCCAGCCUCCCCAUCCUCCCGGGCACGACGUGGGCAGCCUGCUCGCCCAGGGCCUUCGUGAGCAUUCCGGGACGGGCCAGCCGUGGAGGGCUCAGGACGGCGUCUGGCACAGAGCAGACUUCCAGUCAACGUCCAUCCCCAUAAGAGACCAGGUCACGCCUGUCCCUGCGAGGCCAGAUCCAAGCUCCCAGUCAUGGGCUUUCUGGUAAACUGAGGCCGCACAACCACGCCCUUCCCCAGUCCCUGAGAGAGGAGGGUUCUGUCUGGCGUCCAGCAAGCAGCCUCAGGAACAGAUGUGGGGGUUCUUGCUAAUUGAGGGUCCAGCAAUGACUCUACCAGCUAUGUGACCCUGCAAGUUUUUUUAACCCUUUCUAUGCCUCAGUCCCUUGUCGUUAAAAUUACAGUAAGAGUUAAUACCUGAUCCUCAGGCUAUUCGGGCGACCGUGUGGAUGUGUGCGCACACACGUGUAUAUAUACAUACAUCACGUUAUAUAUAUAUAUAUAUAUGGCUUACGUGAAAUAUGUGGUAAUCCACGUGAGUCUGUAAGCAUUCGCAUCAGGAUCAACACAAACAUUCUGGACGUUAGUGACAAGUCCAUGUGGAAGGAACAGGGAAGCUGAGACCAUGACCUUGGUGCCAAACAUCUGAAUCUCACAUUCGUGCGCCCGGGGCGGAGGAGGCCGAACCCUGAGACAUCGGAGCCUGGAGGUGGGGAAAGAUCUAUUCAAAUUGGCCAAAACGAGCAGGCGGCAGCCUGGGUUCGCUCAAAUCCUUCUCCCCAAGAACAGAAAGCAGGGGCCUUAUGGAGCUAAUGGGCUUGGCAGGAGGAGCUGCGGGAAACAGAGGGGUCGCUCCGAUGAGCCCCUGGGCAGUCUGACCUCUGGGCGUCAACGGCUGCUGGAGUCCGGCCACCUGGGGAUUGCAACCUCCCCAAGGCAUCCUCUUUCUUCCACAAAGCAGGCUCACAAAUCCCCAGGACCCCUGAGGCUCCCCUCAAGUUACACAGGAAACAGCAGGUUGUCUAAUGCCUGCAGGAACCCUCAGGUGCCAGCUUCACCCGCAGAAGUGAGUCAACCAGACUCGUUCGCAGAAGAAAUCAGCACUGAGCACCGAAAUGGGCCAGGAACUGCUGUCUUUGUGGCCUCCUUCCAGGUGAGGGAAGAUGCAUACAAAUUAUACUUCAAAGUCAUCUGCUUACUUUCAAAAAUUUAGAUAAAUCUCUGUUGUAAAGUUAUGCUGCAGCCACUUGCCUCUCUCUCCUAAAAUUUGAGGGGAGAGAGAAACAAUCCAGUCCAUCGGGACGCUUUCUUAGUUACGGUCCCACUACAGGUUUGUUCCUUUGGUUGGUUCUGCAGGAGCCCUCCCCCCGACCCUGGACUCUGAGUGGAGGCUGCACCAUCCCCACUGUGUCCUCCGAGAUGCCGUCACUGAAGGAGUCCCUGCACGUCAGUGCGCCUCCUGUGAAGGACGUGACUUGUCCUUAAGGCCGAGGGAGCUGUGGGCCAAGAAGAAACUGAGGAGUUCUUAAAACCCAAACCCAGCUUAGCAUGACAGGCACAGUGCGGGAGAAUGAAUGCCACUGAUGCUAACAGCCACAGGCUAAGUUUCGAGAAGCCGCCACUUGGGUCCUUGGUUCAGGAUGCGGAGAGGUGGAGCUGAGGGGAUUUAUCGCAUGUUUGACUCAAAUCAGUGCUUACGACUUAAAACAUCUUUUUGCAGAGAUGAGAAAUAAAGAGUGAAAUGUGAAAACAAAUGCCAUGGGGUCAGGAGGGCUACUGAUCCCCCAUCACAGAGCCCUCUUGGAUGUGGGGCUCUGGGGCUGCAGGGCCACCCUCGGAGGCUCCCCUGAGGAAGGACCCGGGCUCCUCGGCUCUGUGCUGGCAGCAGCAGCAGAGGGCCCAGCUCUCCCGGGUCACAAGCCGUGCUCUCUGGGGACCUGCAGGGCCGCGGCCCAGAGCACGGGUCCUUCCUCCACCCCACAGCCUCCAGGACCCACCCAACACCUCCUACCCCGGCCCAAGAUAGCCUCCCUGGAUUUUGGGUUAAACAGGUCAAAAUAUAGAAGAGCUGGUUGCAUCCUCCCAUCAGGAAAAUGAUUCCUACUCUCACAUUUAUACAACUGAGGAAACCAGUUACAUGUUUUCCACAGCAUGGGGAAGUGUUGCUUCAUUUUCUUUCCUGCAAAGAACAAUCAAACUUUAUGAGCAAAAAAAUGUCAUCCCUGGAGGUCUCUGAUUAAGCAUUUGUGCGUGACAAUUAAGAGGCCUCCAGCUGACCUGGAAGAAUUCAGUUCUGGAAAUUUACUGACCACAUGCUGGCUACUAUGGUCUCAGAAUGCAUUUUAAAGAACUUGUUUCAAAAAAAAGGCUGCCUUUUAGUUAUCGUCUCUCCUUUAAAAGAUUGCAUUCAAUUGCUAGGGUAACUUAACAUCCACAACAUCCUAACACUGGAAAAAUAGGGAAUAGACUCUCCCUUAAAGUCCCAACAGAAACCGGGCUGUGCAGACCCACUACGUGCAAGAGACUCCACGUGGAAAGUAGUGGAGGCCGUCCGGCG